AACGAACGCUGGCGGCAUGCCUAACACAUGCAAGUCGAACGAGACCUUCGGGUCUAGUGGCGCACGGGUGCGUAACGCGUGGGAACCUGCCCUUAGGUUCGGAAUAACUCCCCGAAAGGGGUGCUAAUACCGGAGAAUGUCUUCGGACCAAAGAUUUAUCGCCUUUGGAUGGGCCCGCGUUGGAUUAGCUGGUUGGUAGUGUAAAAGCCUACCAAGGCGACGAUGCAUAGCUGGUCUGAGAGGAUGAUCAGCCACACUGGGACUGCGACACGGCCCAGACUCCUACGGGAGGGAGCAGUGGGGAAUAUUGGAGAAUGGGGGAAAGCCUGAUACAGCAAUGCCGCGUGAGUGAUGAAGGCCUUAGGGUUGUAAAGCUCUUUUACCCGGGAUGAUAAUGACAGUACCGGGAGAAUAAGCUCCGGCUAACUACGUG
rnacentral:rRNA from 1 species